UUCCCGGUUCUCCACCCCGCGAGCCCGCCAAGAGAAGGCCAAUCAGGGAAGAACACCUCCUGCCUUUUACUCAAACCCCACCCCUAAGCCAAUCACCGAUGCCCACGUAGCCCCACUGAGUAUAAAAACCCAGCACCUAAACAGCUCGCCCUUCUUCCUUCCUUCUUCUCUUCCUCCGUGUGUUGUCGCCUUGGUGCCUCCAAUAAAAUCUCUUGACCGCGAUCAGCGUGUCUUUGGUUUGAGCCUGAUCGGGUCCGACUCUGAGUCGGUCCGACUCUUUCAACAAAGAACGGUGGGAUUGUAGAGAAAGGAGAGGCUGACUGAAAAAGUUUCGAGAGAGCAGUGUUUUUAAGCUGUUCUUCAGAGAAGUUUUUGACAACUGGAGAUGGUGUCAGGAAAUUUUCCAGGCAGUGGGAACAGGACAAGCAAGGCUUUCCUGAAGACAAGCAAUAUGCUAAAGAAAUAGCAAAUCAUCCAGUUUGGAAGGAGCAUUGGUAAGACGAGAUCAUGCAGGGAGUUGAGGUUACAGAAAGGAGUUUGACUAUUGUUCUGAAGAUAAUGGAGAGUUAAAAGGUUGUAAGCUGGAGAGAGAGAGAGAAUUAGUCUUGUGUUUUAGCAUUAUCACCUGUGGCUGCAGACAGAUAAUGAACGCGAGGGGCAUGAGUGGAAGCUGGAAAACAGCGAGUUCAUGGAGAUGAGGAGAAACUUGAUGUUGUGUUCUACGGGUGGGUGGGGGGCAAUGGUAAGCGGGGAUAGAGAUCCGGGCACGACCGCCGGAUGUGUAGGCGGUAGAAUGCACAGGACUCAGUAAGAGAUGAACAUGGGGAGUGAGGGAGGAGUUUUUAGUUAGUAUGAACGGGAAGGCGAGGGUACCAUUUACAGCGACGGGUAACCACGCGAGAGGAGCAGGUCAGCUCCGGACAGUGGAGGUGAAGAUGCGUGCGCCUCGCGCACCUUGUCCCUCGCGCGACGCCGUCCGCGCCGCCAGGGGUUCGGUCGGGAGCGGCAGCCCGCGCUGCGGUUCCGGUUCCGGUUCCAGUUCCGGCUGGCGUCUGCACCUGCGACCACCGUGAGCAGUCAUGGCGUACUCCACAGUGCAGAGAGUCGCUCUGGUUUCUGGGCUUGUCCUGGCUCUGUCGCUGCUGCUGCCCAAGGCCUUCCUGUCCCGCGGGAAGCGGCAGGAGCCGCCGCCGACGCCUGAAGGAAAAUUGGGCCGAUUUCCACCUAUGAUACAUCAUCACCAGGUACCCUCAGAUGGCCAGACUCCUGGGCCUCGUUUCCAGAGGUCUCACCUUGCAGAGGCAUUUGCAAAGGCCAAAGGAUCAGGUGGAGGUGCUGGAGGAGGAGGUAGUGGAAGAGGUCUGAUGGGGCAGAUUAUUCCAAUCUACGGUUUUGGGAUUUUUUUAUAUAUACUGUACAUUCUAUUUAAGCUCUCAAAGGGGAAAACAACUGCAGAGGUUGGGAAAUGCUAUACUGCCACGCCUGGAAACACCCACAGGAAAAUUACCAGUUUUGAGCUUGCUCAACUGCAAGAAAAACUGAAGGAGACAGAAGCAGCCAUGGAAAAAUUAAUCAACAGAGUGGGACCUAAUGGUGAGAGCAGAACACAGACUGUGACUUCUGACCAAGAGAAACGGUUGCUGCAUCAGCUCCGAGAAAUCACCAGGGUCAUGAAAGAAGGAAAAUUCAUUGACAGAUUUUCUCCAGAGAAAGAAGCUGAGGAGGCCCCUUACAUGGAGGACUGGGAAGGUUACCCUGAAGAGACUUACCCAAUUUAUGACCUUUCAGACUGUAUCAAGCAUAGGCAAGAAACAAUCUUGGUGGAUUACCCUGACCCAAAAGAACUUUCUGCUGAAGAAAUAGCUGAAAGAAUGGGAAUGAUAGAAGAGGAAGAAUCAGAUCAUUUGGGUUGGGAAAGUCUGCCCACUGACCCCAGAGCCCAGGAAGAUAAUUCUGUUACCUCGUGUGAUCCAAAGCCAGAAACAUGUUCCUGCUGUUUUCAUGAAGACGAGGAUCCUGCUGUCUUGGCAGAGAAUGCUGGAUUUAGUGCAGAUAGCUACCCUGAGCAAGAGGAAACCACCAAAGAAGAGUGGUCCCAAGACUUUAAAGAUGAAGAGUUGGGCAUCAGCACCGAUAAAGCAUAUACAGGCAGCAUGCUGAGGAAGCGUAACCCCCAGGGUUUAGAGUGAAAACAGCCAGUCUGAAGUAUCCAUUACUCAAGUCCCAAGGUGACCUCUCUCUCCUCAGAUUUCCUUCUUGGCCCUGUGCCCUGCACUUUCUUCACUGUGUUCAAGUGUCAUAGCUAUCAGGCCACUAUCAUGGAUAUCAUGUAUCCUUCCUGGUGCUCACACACCUGUCACCUUGUAAAACACGGACAUUAGUGUGAACACAGGACAGCUUCGCUCUUUCUCUUCCUGCCUUUAUCAGAGAAGUUGAUCCAUUAAGUAAUUAUGUUUGGUCUAUUGUAAUUACAGAUGGGACCACUCAGGGGCAAAGGUCUGACUCUUCCUGGUAGGUGUAACAGAUAGUUCACCUGUGAACAAACAUCAGCUUAUAGAUGAUAAGGACUUAAGAUUGCAAGAAUGAAGAUUUCAGACUCCAAGAUGCCUUAUUCUUUGGGCCUUGAGCAGAAUAUCCUGUAUGUGCUAUUUCCCGCCAGAGGCAGAGGCCACAGGAGAUAGGCCAUGGUUCAGGUAGGAAAUGCUCUUGGUCACAUCAGAACUCUAGAUUUGGGGGAAUAAACAAACCCUAAUUAUUACCACACUCUCAAAGUUCCCUUCAAUCUGGACUAUUUGUAUUCCAAAGAAAAAUUUAGUGCUUUAGCUAUUCAGCAAUAUUGAGAAAAAACAUGAACACAUUUAUGACUUUGCCUUGACCAUUGACUUUUCUAAAAUGUGCUUCCUUUUCCUUUAUUUCCCUUUUUUUAUACAAAGAAAAUAUGCCAAAUUUCUCCUCUUAGGUCAUUCCUUAACCUCUCAGAGAACCAGUUUCCCCAUGAAUUGGGAAUAAUGCUCUAUUUACAGGGCUGUUUGUUUAUAAAGGGUCUGUGCCAGGGCAAAGCAUGUGGUAGGUGCUUGGUGACAGCAUGAUCACCGUCACCACUGUCAAGUCCAGUAUUGCUGAGAUGUCACACUUGACGCCCUCUAAGGCUACCCUGACUGCCAGGAGUGGCCCAGGGCCCUUCUGCACUCUCUGGGUGCCUUUAGUUAUAACCUCCUGUCUGGGUCAGACCAUUAGCUUUCAUGUCUGCUUCUAGCUACCACUGUAGCCUCCCUUCCUUUUGCCCUCAAAUCUGCCACAGCUGCCCUGCAACAACAAAAAAGAUUCCUAAGCAUUUCUAAGUCCUGUUUAAAUGGAUUAGGGUCCAAGCAAGCCCAGAGAAAUCAAGUGGUUGGGUCUUUUACACCUUUUUCAUCUCUACAGCCCUGUUCUCUUCCUAAGGCCAGGCCCACAGGGGAUACUGAGGAACCACCAGCCCCUUCAGGUGGCACAGCAGACCCUGAAGAGAACUGCUCUAACUUACUUAAGUACCUUCUGACUUCUUCACCAUUUUUCCAGCCUCUGGGUGUGGUUCUGAUGAACCUUAAACUUGAAAGGCACAGCCAGAGGGAGGACAGUGUUGACCCACAUGUCAUUGGUGAGGUUAUUACCCACCUGAGGCUCCUAGGAAACAAUGAAUGAAAGGUAUAGAAAAAAAUUAGGAAGUAAACAGGGCUUUUUUUCCCCCUUUUAUGAAAAAAGUACACAGAAAUGUUGAAACGAUUCAAGUUUAAUUUGUUGAUAUAUGUGUGUACUUAGACAAACACUAACUUCUACAACAUACAUAAUGUCAACAUGGGAAAAUACCAAGUUUGUCAUUGCACAUACCAAUAAAUAAAUACAUUUGCUCCAGAAUACCAAAGAAGUUUAUUCAAAAAGUCACUUAAUAAAAGCACAGUUUUGCAAAUUUGUCUAAAACUCCAGAUAAUCUUGAACAAAAAUAAAAUGUCUGACCACUCCAAAAUAGGAAAAGACAAUCUUGUGCAAAUAGACAUACACAUUCUAGGCAUUGUGAAAACUGGCUGUGUUCCCAGCAAGAGAUACUGCAGCCUCCUGACCAGGCAGUCAGGCUUCCCUUUCCCAGCCAUCCUAAGUUGCCUUCUAGGAAACUCUGGAUCUCAGCCUCAUCUCCAGCUUUGCCUGGACCUUGCUAGGGGGAGGGAGGGACAGGAGCACAGAGGAGGAGAGGGAUGUGAUGUUUUUUUUAGGAAAGAAAAAAAGGCACAGUGAUGAGCUAUAAAGGUAGUGAUGAAAGCAAGGAAUAACUUUCAUUCACCCCAAAUCCUACGGCAAGCUUUGACAAUGUAACAUCUUCAUCUUGUGGUUAGGAAAAUGGACCUAGAGAGAUUACGUGGUUUGCUCAAAAUCACAUAGCUACUAAGUGCAGUAGUGCUUUCUAUAAGACCAAUUUGCCUUUCCACUUGGAAAAUUUAAAAACCAAACCUGUCAUAAUAUAUCUGUUCUGCCCCUCCCGCCUGUAUCAUGAGAUGACAGAAAAUUCCAGGUGGCCAUAAACUCAAACAAGAGCCUAGCCCUUGGCUUAUUACUGGUGGCUACUACAAACCUAUAGACCAGAGCCCAGAGUAGGAUAGAGUCCCAACUGUGGGCCCUGACUGCAGGUCAUUCAGGUCCCAGUCACAGUGAAAGCAGACUCAUUCAGCUAUCUGGAGAAGCGUAAUCUGAGGGCCACUUGGCAUCCUGAGUUGACACAGGGAUGCCGCAGCUGGGGUAAGGAAUUAGAGAAGGGAAGUCCAGUGUUACUGCAGUUAAGAGAAAACCAGAAAGUCCAUCUAGGAGAUGGAAUUUGUGCUUGCAUAACAGAGCCAUGGAAAUGGCUAUCCCAGCAUCUCUCCUCACUGCAGACUCCGUUGUAAGCAAAGCAUGGACCUUUUUCUUUAAGAGGUAAAUGUCCUGCUAUUUUCAGAAUGGAAAAAAAAAAAAAGACUUCUGCUUCUAGAAUCUUGUGCCCUACUUGUCACUGAAGGAGGCAGGCUCCAAAAGUUCUCUUAUAGCUUCUGAUUAUCACAGUCCUGGCUUCCAACAUCUGUCUUCGCCAUAGAUCUGGACCUUAUGUGCUCCCUCGAACUAGUGUCGUGAUUUUUAAGGCACAUUCACUAGAGUAUGUUCAAUUUCAACCAAAACCAUACAUGCAACGUACCAGUUUUUUCAGGCAAUGCAGAGUGGGAACUGAAAAGCUAACAACAUUCUUGGAUGGUGUCCUCUCACUCAGAACCCUGAGAGAGAAAGCUGGUAUUUUCCCAGGUAUACCUUCUGUUCAGAGAGCAUGAAAUGGACAAAAUCCACAGGUGAUCAUAACAUCCUUAUUCCUUUCCUACUCAUUCUCAGGAAUAUAAUCACAACUAAGAAACCUCAGUUGAUUGCUGAUUGCCCUUUUCCCCAAAUAAUCACACAGACACACACACACACACACACACACGGACGGACACAGAGCACCUUGGAGCCAGAAGGAAAGAAAAGCUGGACUUGGAGAAGAAUUGGGGAAGUGAACUUCACCACUCUGCAGAAUUGUUCUGGGGCAGAGGGUAUAGAGUUUUGGGGUGUGGUCCCAGAAGCGGUUACAGAGAAGCUGCCUAAACUCCCAACUGCCCAAUACCAUUAGGGACUGCUCAUUCUGUCAUUAAUUCCCUGCCCAAAGACCAUCCAUCCAGGUAGAGGGUAUGAAGGGCAAGAACUCUUACUGUGAGAGAGGCUGAACCCAGGUGGUUUCCAGGGGCCCUAGCAGCUUUACGAGUCCAUGCAUCCAUGGCCCCAGGGUCAGUGGUCAAGGAAAACCAGCAUCACCAGGAGCGUACUCAGCUGCUGAUGCUUGUCACUCGAUGCCUGACAGAGUUAUGGCUGAGGCUAUCCUUCUCCACACUUAAGCUAGAAAGUUCAGCCUGUCUUCCCUGACCCCACCAAAAGAUCCAGCCAACUCCCUUUUCUGUGUGCUACAGGAGAAAGCAGAGGCCAAGAGUUUUCCUUUGUGCUUCUGAUUUUUCCAUUGCCACCAGGGUCUCCGUCUCACCAGAACUCAGAACCAGCCUGUUCUAUCUUAAAAUCAUAGAUCCAGAGAAAUAGCUUGACCUGACAUUAGAGAUGAUCUAGUUUCCAUCAUCUCAAAUGUCACCAUGAAGAUCUCUUCUCCUUAAAGGCAAGGAAGGGCUAGACUGGAACUAUAGAAAGGAGGAUGGCACCAACGUAUCUCGCCAGCGCUGGCACCAAGUUGUAGUGCCCUCUAGAAACUGGACCAUGUUGCAAAAGCCAAUCGUUGGAGGGGCCUCUCAGAGAUGUAUGGCCGAGGUGUGGGCAGAUCCUGCUAGAACAGGUAUGCCUUGCUUUAAGCAUUCAACAUAGGAAAA